rnacentral:rRNA from 1 species
AGCGAACGCUGGCGGCAGGCCUAACACAUGCAAGUCGAACGAACCCUUCGGGGUUAGUGGCAGACGGGUGAGUAACACGUGGGAACGUGCCCUUUGGUUCGGAACAACUCAGGGAAACUUGAGCUAAUACCGGAUAAGCCCUUACGGGGAAAGAUUUAUCGCCGAAAGAUCGGCCCGCGUCUGAUUAGCUAGUUGGUGUGGUAACGGCGCACCAAGGCGACGAUCAGUAGCUGGUCUGAGAGGAUGAUCAGCCACAUUGGGACUGAGACACGGCCCAAACUCCUACGGGGGGCAGCAGUGGGGAAGUAUUGGACAAUGGGCGGCAAGCCUGAUCCAGCCAUGCCGCGUGAGUGAUGAAGGCCCUAGGUUGUAAAGCUCUUUUGUGCGGGAAGAUGAUGACGGUACCGC